rnacentral:tRNA from 1 species
GGAUGUUUGGUCUAGUGGUAUGAUUCUCGCUUUGGGUGCGAGAGGUUGUGAGUUUGAUUCUCGUAACACCCC